UACGUAGGGGGCAAGCGUUGUCCGGAAUCAUUGGGCGUAAAGCGCGUGUAGGCGGCUCGAUAAGUCUGCUGUGAAAGUCCAGGGCUCAACCCUGGGAUGCCGGUGGAUACUGUCGAGCUCGAGUCCGGAAGAGGCGAGUGGAAUUCCUGGUGUAGCGGUGAAAUGCGCAGAUAUCAGGAAGAACACCUAUGGCGAAGGCAGCACUCUGGGACGGUACUGACGCUGAGACGCGAAAGCGUGGGGAGCGAACAGG
rnacentral:rRNA from 1 species